rnacentral:lncRNA from 1 species
GACUCAGAAAGCACAAAAAAAGACUUGAAAAUUAAAUUUGAAAUCUUGUUCUUUGAUUAAGUGACAACAAAACUAGACAAAUCUCUGUCGAGAAUAAUGGAAAAUGAGAAAAAACUAAUAUGUUUACCAGAACGUUCAAAGGGAAUAUAGCAAUGAAUUAGAUAUUUGAUGGGAAAUACUGUAGAAAGUCCAUGAGAAUACCGGAAAAUCUUGAUGAAAUAAUGACUUUCUUAGAAAUUAUAAACAGCCAGAAUGGACUCAGUGAAACAUGAAACUUGAAGUAAAUGACAAUGUAAGAAAUGAAAGUUUUCAAAGAGCUCUUCCCCUAAAAUGUGUAUGAACCAGAUUCUUCAACUCUGCAUUUCUUCUGCGAUUUUCUUUGGCAUUUUAAAGUGUUUGUAAACAUAGAGGAUAUUAGAAAUCUUUGUAUACCAUUUUCAAGAUGAUAAUGUAAAGGCUAGAAAAAAAUAAAUUUCAGGAAUCAGCACUUGAAAAGGAACCUAAAUGAUAUUCUACAAAAAUAGGUUUAAAAACCUAAGGAAAAACACAGCAAUUAAGUCCAGGAGUAUCUUCAAACUGAGCUUAUCUAAGGGUUGCAUCAAUGUAAAGGAAUUUAUUAGUAAAACGCACCAAAUGGUAAGAUCUCUAGGAUUAUAUUAAUAGAUGUUGGAAGAAAUUCAACAUGAUCUCUGGAUAAAAAUAAUUUUUAGUAAAAGGAGACUUUUUAUCUCACUACACAUCAGAUUUAAAAGUGGUCCACCAGAUCUAGCUGAAGAUCUAAUGCACUCAGAUCUAAUGCACUCACAUUAGAAUAAGGAAGAGAACAAGGGUCCAUGUUAUUCCACCAUUACGAUUCUGAUAGUGCUGCUAUAAUGAGACAGAACAAGAGCUUCACACAAGAAGAUCCAAGGCUAAAGCAGCCUUUCCUGACUCUGUGCCCACGAGACCAAGGUGAGGGAGAAGAGAGAAGCUUCCUCAGGUGGAGUCACCAAACAGAAAUGGGUCAUCUGUGGUAAAACGUCAGCCUGCCCAGGACGGGGAAAUGACAGGACUCUCGGAGUGCUGCGGGAGUGUAGCUGUUGACCUCUCUCUCAUGGUGGCUUUGAAAAUCCACAUUUUGUAUUUAAUAUCAGGGUCAACAUCAGAUGCCCCAUCAGGGUCACCCAGUCUUAUUU